rnacentral:rRNA from 1 species
UACAGAGGUGGCAAGCGUUGUUCGGAAUUACUGGGCGUAAAGGGCUCGUAGGUGGCCAACUAAGUCAGACGUGAAAUCCCUCAGCUUAACUGGGGAACUGCGUCUGAUACUGGAUGGCUUGAGUUUGGGAGAGGGAUGCGGAAUUCCAGGUGUAGCGGUGAAAUGCGUAGAUAUCUGGAGGAACACCGGUGGCGAAGGCGGCAUCCUGGACCAACACUGACACUGAGGAGCGAAAGCCAGGGGAGCAAACGGA